CGUAGCACGCUGUGCGGGGGCGUGCGCACACGACCAAGUGCAAGGCGUGCGCACUAGGCGCACGACCCAUUCAAAUGGGGUGAUGGACUGGUCUGUGAGCACGUCAUGUCUUGUGCAGAUAGGCCAAUCUGCGCGCCUCACAAAGCACACAGACAGGGCCAGGUGUCGUACCCUGUGCGCGCGCUGUCCAUGCAGUAGGCCUGCACUGAUAGGCCUACGUGCCUUUGCCUGUGUGCAGUAGGCUUGCCCAUAGUGCCCUGUGCGUUGUAGGCUCUACGCACGCAUACUAGCUUUGUGUGAUGCAGAGUAGCCGACCCUUGCAGCUAGCCUAGAGCCCGCGACUGACUUGGUAAAGCGCACUAUUACCUUGGGCAGUGUGUCGUUGCCCCCUUGGGGGUCGUGCGCUACCUUGGGCAUUGUGCUAC
rnacentral:lncRNA from 1 species